rnacentral:lncRNA from 1 species
ACUCCCUGGGAGACACACAGUUGGUGGUGGACAGUGUGGUAAUAAAAGGCCCUGAGACGGGGUGGGCUGCCAGUGUUGAAACCCAGGCUUUAGCUUUGUACCCAGCUGGGUCCCAGAGAAGAACACCAGAUUUCUGCAACCCUGGGGCAGCUGCAGGAAAAGCCUUCAAGGUGAAAGGAAAAUAUUUUCAUUUUUCCAGCAGUUUUUAGAAAUGUUUCAGGGUGAUCCAUUGCUUCUCAAAAUGUCCACUAUCACUUGCAUCAGGAUGUGGGGCAGUUUUUGUUUGCUUUUUUAAAUGCAGAUUUUUGAUCCCUACCCUCCACCUUACCCCUUGGCAGCUCCCCAGCUGCUCUGUGAUAGGAUUCUCUCAGUCUGAAGCACCUGAUAGGAAUUUUAGUUAAACUGAAUUUAUCAGUUCAGGCUCUGGGGAAUUAACUAUGAAUAAGACAGAGGCCCUGCUUUCACAUCUGAUUCAAAAAGUAGACAGGUUCCCCUCUUCCAGGAUGAGUGCCAGGUGACGUGUAUCAGAUGCCCGUUGGUGAGAUUUGAGGCGGACCCCAGACCUUAACACCCCUCUGGCUGAGUCCCCUCACAUGGUAGCAGGGCCUACGCCACAGCCACAGCAAUGCGGGAUCCGAGUCAUGUCUGCGACCUACACCACAGCUCACAGCAAGGCCAGAUCCUUAACCCACUGAGCGAGGACAGGGAUCAAACCCUCAACCUCAUGGUUCCUAGUCGGAUUCGUUAACCACUGAACCACGACGGGAACUCCGGGCCUACACCACAGCAACACCAGAUCAGAGCCACGUCUGUGACCAGCACCACAGUUCAGGGCAACACCAGAUCCUUAACCCACUGAACAAAGGCCAGGGAUUGAACCCGCAACCUCAUGGUUCCUAGUUGGAUUCGUUAACCACUGAGCCACGACGGGAACGCCUCUUUUUAAAUUAUAGUUUUGUCCAGAUAUAUGGAUUGCUGUAUCAUAUGGUAGUUUUAUAUUGCCUUUUCUGAGGAACCCGCAUACUGUUUUCCAUAGUGGUUGUAUCAGUUUACAUUCCUCCAGCCAUGCAGGAGGGUUCCACACCCUCUGCAGCAUUUGUUAUUUGUAGCUUAUGAAUGAUGGCCACUCUGACCAGUAAGAGGUGGUAUCUCACUGUAGUUUUGAUUUGCAUUUCUCUAAUAAUUAGUGAUGUUGAACAUCUUUUAUGUGCCUACUGGCCAGCUGUAUGUCUUCCUUGGAGAAAUGACUAUUUAGGUCUUCUGCACAUUUUUCGAUUAGGUUGUUCGUUCUUUUGUCGUUGAGUUGUAUGAGUUUUGUUUUGUUUUUUUUGUAUUUUGGAGGUGAAGCCCUUAUUGGUUGCAUCAUUUGCAACUAUUUUCUUCCAUUCCGUAGGUUGUCUUUUCAUUUUGUUUAUGGUUUCCUUUGAUGUGCAAAAGCUUGUAAGUUUGAUUAGUUUCCAUUUGUUUAUUUUUUUCUAUUGCCUUGGGAGACUGACCUAAUAAGACAUUUGUAUGGUUUGUCUUCUCUGCCCCGUUUUUACAUGAGUGAUAGCAUAUCCCAUACAUUCUUCUGCUCCUCACUUUUUUUCACUUAAUGUACAUCUUGGAAAUAACAACAGUAAUGUAAUAACAGUAAUAUAACAUGAGGGAAACCCACAUGUCUCAUAAUGAGCCUCCACUACGUGUCAGGUGCUGUUCUAAGCACUUCAGAUGUUAUAAUUCACACCGUGCUUGUCAGAAUCCUGUGUGGUAGGUACUUGGUAUGAAUCCCCAUUGUUAAGAGGUUAAGUAAUUUUCCGAGAUUUCACAGCUGAUACUUGGCAGAGGCAAGAUUCAAUCCCGGGCCAUCUGACUUUAGAUUAGUUGUCCUUUGUCCCUGCCCCAUUGCUGCUCACGCUUGUGUCAUGUCACUGUGGACGCUUGCUCUUCCCGAGGGCCAAGGUGGGAGAGAUGCUGGUUAUUGAACUCUUGCCAUGGCCAGGCUCAGGCUGGGAUGCAGCAAAGAAUAAGAAAGACUAGGUCUCUGCUCUCUUAGAACUGGCAUCCCAGGGCCUACAAGUGUCUGUCAGCCAAAGCAGGAGGAGGGAAACCCACGUGUCGCCUACACUCACACGCCCGUGUCCAGUGUGCUGCUCACACGCACCCUGUUCCUUUUAUCCACUGGUCCUUUACUCACUCAGCCUCUGAGCUGGAAGGCCUUGGGGCCCAGUGCUCAAGGUAGGAACGUGGAGGUCUAGACGGAGGAGACACUUGUGAGGGAUCACAGCGUGGCCCUCGUGAACCUCAUCCCCUGCCCCCCCGGGAUCCAUUUCAGCAGGGCUGGUGGAGGCGUCUCUAAUCCAGGGCCCAACCAUUGUUUGAAGUUGGGAACAAUUGAAGGGCAAGGGAGCUAUAGAUAGAUCCACAGCUGCUAUCACCUGUUCCAGCCUGGGCACUGGCCCAAGCAUUGUCUGCAUGGGGGUACUCUACCAAGGCCCACUGCGGGUGGGAGGCUGGUUCAGCCUCGCCCAGCUCUAGAGAGACUGAAUCAGAGGCCCAGACAGAGAAAUACAGAAUCUCAGAGGGUGGAAACCGACAGGGUAACUCAGAAAGACCCAGACCCUUGAGAGAUACUAGAGGCUCCCACCAAAUGCCAGGAACACUGAGGCUGGGUGGGGCUGGGAGAGCUGCACUUGUAUAUUUCUCUCUGGGGCAACCACUUCCCGGACUCUUCCUGAGGCAGUCAGAGGUACUUUGGGGAGUGCUCUUGGAGACCCCUGGGGGCUUUGAAAUGGAGAGGUUGUGGAGUUCCUGUUGUGGCUCAGUGAUAAUGAACCCAACUAGUAUCCAUGAGGACACAGGUUUGAUCCCUUGCCCGGGUCAGUGGGUUGAGGAUCCAGCAUUGCCAUGAGCUGUGGUGUAGGUUGCAGAUGCGGCUUGGAUCCCACAUUGCUGUGAUAUAGGCUGGCAGCUGCAGCUCCGAUUAGACCCCUAGCCCGGGAACUUCCAUAUGCUGCAAGUGGGCCCUAAAAAGACC